GAUGAACGCUGGCGGCGUGCCUAAUACAUGCAAGUCGAGCGAACGGACGAGAAGCUUGCUUCUCUGAUGUUAGCGGCGGACGGGUGAGUAACACGUGGAUAACCUACCUAUAAGACUGGGAUAACUUCGGGAAACCGGAGCUAAUACCGGAUAAUAUUUUGAACCGCAUGGUUCAAAAGUGAAAGACGGUCUUGCUGUCACUUAUAGAUGGAUCCGCGCUGCAUUAGCUAGUUGGUAAGGUAACGGCUUACCAAGGCAACGAUGCAUAGCCGACCUGAGAGGGUGAUCGGCCACACUGGAACUGAGACACGGUCCAGACUCCUACGGGAGGCAGCAGUAGGGAAUCUUCCGCAAUGGGCGAAAGCCUGACGGAGCAACGCCGCGUGAGUGAUGAAGGUCUUCGGAUCGUAAAACUCUGUUAUUAGGGAAGAACAUAUGUGUAAGUAACUGUGCACAUCUUGACGGUACCUAAUCAGAAAGCCACGGCUAACUACGUGCCAGCAGCCGCGGUAAUACGUAGGUGGCAAGCGUUACCCGGAAUUAUUGGGCGUAAAGCGCGCGUAGGCGGUUUUUUAAGUCUGAUGUGAAAGCCCACGGCUCAACCGUGGAGGGUCAUUGGAAACUGGAAAACUUGAGUGCAGAAGAGGAAAGUGGAAUUCCAUGUGUAGCGGUGAAAUGCGCAGAGAUAUGGAGGAACACCAGUGGCGAAGGCGACUUUCUGGUCUGUAACUGACGCUGAUGUGCGAAAGCGUGGGGAUCAAACAGGAUUAGAUACCCUGGUAGUCCACGCCGUAAACGAUGAGUGCUAAGUGUUAGGGGGUUUCCGCCCCUUAGUGCUGCAGCUAACGCAUUAAGCACUCCGCCUGGGGAGUACGACCGCAAGGUUGAAGCUCAAAGGAAUUGACGGGGACCCGCACAAGCGGUGGAGCAUGUGGUUUAAUUCGAAGCAACGCGAAGAACCUUACCAAAUCUUGACAUCCUUUGACAACUCUAGAGAUAGAGCUUUCCCCUUCGGGGGACAAAGUGACAGGUGGUGCAUGGUUGUCGUCAGCUCGUGUCGUGAGAUGUUGGGUUAAGUCCCGCAACGAGCGCAACCCUUAAGCUUAGUUGCCAUCAUUAAGUUGGGCACUCUAAGUUGACUGCCGGUGACAAACCGGAGGAAGGUGGGGAUGACGUCAAGUCAUCAUGCCCCUUAUGAUUUGGGCUACACACGUGCUACAAUGGACAAUACAAAGGGCAGCGAAACCGCGAGGUCAAGCAAAUCCCAUAAAGUUGUUCUCAGUUCGGAUUGUAGUCUGCAACUCGACUACAUGAAGCUGGAAUCGCUAGUAAUCGUAGAUCAGCAUGCUACGGUGAAUACGUUCCCGGGUCU
rnacentral:rRNA from 1 species